AAGAAAAUAAAAGAUGCCCUCCAAGAGGGAGAGGAGGGCAGGGGUGUUAUAUUAUCCAUCUCGGGCACAAAAAAUAUCAAUGGAGUAUCAUCUUCAUGUUAGUAAUGAAACUAAUACAAUACAGAGUUCCAGGAUAUGCUCAACAAAGUGCUUCUGCUGUUUUUACACGUAAAGAUUACUUUCUCGUCUAUGAUGGAAUCAUCAUCUACCUCGCUUAAUGCCUGACCUAUACUUAGAAUAUCAGUUAUGGCUCAUCAGCCUUGGCAAAGACCAGGCCUUCUUGGCGCUAUCAACUUGAAACAGGAACAUGGAGCGCCACAAGAAUUUAUCCAAGAGGAUCAAUCACCAGAGGGGGGAUCAAGCAUUUCAGCCUGGCCUGAGGCAGCACCAAGAAAACAAGAGCUCAAGAGAAGACGACCCCGACUUUCCGGGCAAAAUCAUCGUCGUCCUCAAACUCUUCCUCGUCGUCUUGAUAUGCAUUCUCAUCUUCGGUCCCCUCAUACUCAGACUCCCCCNNNN
rnacentral:lncRNA from 1 species